rnacentral:rRNA from 1 species
UACAGAGGGUGCUAGCGUUGUUCGGAAUCAUUGGGCGUAAAGGGCGUGUAGGCGGUUUGUUAAGUCAUGUGUGAAAUCCCUCGGCUCAACCGGGGAACGACGCAUGAAACUGGCAAGCUAGAGUACCAAAGAGGGGGGUGGAAUUCCCGGUGUAGCGGUGAAAUGCGUAGAUAUCAGGAAGAACACCAAUGGCGAAGGCAGCUCUCUGGGACGGUACUGACACUGAGACGCGAAAGCGUGGGGAGCGAACAGG